GCUUUUGUUUUCCUGACAAGGAGCCUUUCUUCUGCUGUAAAACAAAGAAUGCUUACCAUUGGCUUUUAAAAGCACACGUGUCCCAUUUGCAACAGAUAUUACCUAAAUGGUUAAGCAAAAGUGGAGAAAAACGUGGUGCGUGGUUUCCUCCGCUGUUUCAGUAGCCUGAACUUCCUGACGCUUCUUCCAGACAGUCAAUGAUGCUCACACUGAUGAAGGAGGCCUGGCGAGGGCUCAGAAGGACAACAGGACGCCGUUACCUUGUCUCCCAGGCGCCAACCCAUCAUGUCCACAAACUGGAACACAAGAGCAACGACGGAAAUGUACGCCUGCAGCUUCUCUGGUGACGGCUGGAUUAUGCAGAAUAGAAGGACCAGGGGGUGGCCACCUUGCUUCAAAAGCUUCACUUUGAUGCCUCCUCUUGAGCUUGCUCUUGGAUUCCCAUGACAGAACCCUCACCUGCCACUGCCUCCCUCUGACCCAUCACAACUAAGAAUGCUCAGACCGCGGGAUCACAGUAUGUGGAAUUUAUCUUUGCCCCAGCACACAUCCUGGUUUUGACAUUUAGUAGCUAUUUGAUAAAUGUUCAAAUCGCAUAUAAAUAAGUGUGGGAAUAAUAACUAGGGCUGUGGGCACAUUUUAAUGGUGACCUCCUUAGAGAGCAAACAUGAGAUGGAACAGAGUGGCCUGCUAUCGUUAUUUUUCUCUAAUGAAUCCUUAUGACCAAAUAUUUUUCUGAUCAUAAAGGAAGCCAAGAGUUAAAAGAUGAGGGAGGGGAAAAAAAAGGAAUUGACAAGACAUUGGUUAGAAAUAAUGCUUCUGGGGGCG